ACGUUUUUGUUGUUGUGACGUUUUUGUUGUUGGGAUAUUUUUGUUGUUGUGACAUUUUUGUUGUGACAUUUUUGUGGUUGUGCCAUUUUUGUUGAGUGACGUUUUUGUUGUUGUGACGUUUUUUGUUGUUGUGACAUUUUUGUUGUUGGGACAUUUUUGUUGUUGGGACGUUUUUGUUGGGAUAUUUUUGUUGUGGUGCCGUUUUUUGUUAUUGUUGGGACAUUUUUGUUGUUGGGACAUUUUUGUUGGGAUAUUUUUGUUGUUGUGCCGUUUUUUGUUACUGUUGGGACAUUUUUGUUGUUGGGACAUUUUUGUGGUUGUGUUAUUUCUGUUGAGUGACGUUUUUGUUGUUGUGACGUUUUUUGUUGUUGGGACAUUUUUGUUGUUGGGACAUUUUUGUUGGGAUAUUUUUGUUGUUGUGCUAUUUUUGUUGUUGUGCCAUUUUUGUUGUUGUGCUAUUUUUGUUGUGCCAUUUUUGUUGUUGUGCCAUUUUUGUUGUUGUGCUAUUUUUGUUGUGACGUUUUUGUUGUUGUGACGUUUUUGUUGUUGGGAUAUUUUUGUUGUUGUGACAUUUUUGUUGUGACAUUUUUGUGGUUGUGCCAUUUUUGUUGAGUGACGUUUUUGUUGUUGUGACGUUUUUUGUUGUUGUGACAUUUUUGUUGUUGGGACAUUUUUGUUGUUGGGACGUUUUUGUUGGGAUAUUUUUGUUGUGGUGCCGUUUUUUGUUAUUGUUGGGACAUUUUUGUUGUUGGGACAUUUUUGUUGGGAUAUUUUUGUUGUUGUGCCGUUUUUUGUUACUGUUGGGACAUUUUUGUUGUUGGGACAUUUUUGUGGUUGUGUCAUUUCUGUUGAGUGACGUUUUUGUUGUUGUGACGUUUUUUGUUGUUGGGACAUUUUUGUUGUUGGGACAUUUUUGUUGGGAUAUUUUUGUUGUUGUGCCGUUUUUUGUUAUUGUUGGGACAUUUUUUUUGUUGGGACAUUUUUGUGGUUGUGUCAUUUCUGUUGAGUGACGUUUUUGUUGUUGUGACGUUUUUUGUUGUUGGGACAUUUUUGUUGUUGGGACAUUUUUGUUGGGAUAUUUUUGUUGUGCCGUUUUUUGUUGUUGUUGGGACAUUUUUGUUGUUGGGACAUUUUUGUUGUUGGGAUAUUUUUGUUGUUGGGACAUUUUUGUUGGGAUAUUUUUGUUGUGCCGUUUUUUGUUGUUGUUGGGACAUUUUUGUUGUUGGGACAUUUUUGUUGUUGGGAUAUUUUUGUUGUGCCAUUUUUGUUGUUGUGCCAUUUUUGGGUUAGGGUUGGGGGGGGCUAUUGUGUAGCAUACGGGCGAGGAUACGGGCGAGGAUACGGGUGUAGCAUGCGGGUGUAGCAUGUGGGUGUAGCAUACGGGUGAGGAUACGGGUGUAGCAUGUGGGUGUAGCAUACGGGUGAGGAUACGGGUGUAGCAUGUGGGUGUAGCAUACGGGUGAGGAUCAAGUGAGGACACGGGCGUAGCACGGCACCAAACUUCCAUCUGAUGAUUCGCCACAAAACGUUCAACUUUUAUAACUCGGUUCCACCAAUUCAGAUCUUGAUCAUAAUUGGUAGAAAUGACGAUGAUGACACCCUGAAGUGCAGAAUGGGUCAGUAUCUAUUGGUACCCAUUCAUGGGGGGCGGAGCCUGGCGGCGAAAACUGCUCCCUCAUGACUGGACUUUAGAUGGUCCUUCCAAAGUGUUUUAGGUGUGAUCAUGACUGGACUUUAGAUGGUCCUUCCAAAGUGUUUUAGGUGUGAUCAUGACUGGACCUGGACAAGAUGGCCCCCUUGUGGUGGUCGAUUGUAAAAGUGCUAACUUCCUUCUGCAUGCGCCCACAUUUUGCUCCUUUUGUUGCACAUGGAAUGAUUUUUGCUGACUUUGCAGGGUUGAGGUCUGGGUCUGAGGUGAGAGGACCGCCGUGACCGCGGCGUGGCCAAGUUGAAGUGGGAGAGCACUAAUUACGACGCUCGCCGCCACAUGGCCGCCGUCCCAGCAGCCAGCGUGUGAGACGCAGCGGGCACAACACUGGGCCGUGCCUGGGCGCCAUGGCGUGUGGGAGACAAAGGAGGCAGGGCUUUGACUGCUCAGAUCAGCAGCCUUGCUCCUGAUGAUGUAAUUACUUCCCAGCAGCACCACUGGGAGGCCUCGCUGACGGCAGAUGUUCCUAAUUGCUCUCCAUUAGCAAGAAUAACAGAUGUUUGUAUCCAUCAGCCAAUAACUCAGCAGACAAUCACACCUGCUCGCCAUCACAGCCCCGCCCCCUUCCAAGAUGGAGAGUCACCUUCAGAUCUUAUUCAUAUUCCUCCAUCUCCUUUUGUGGCGCCCGCCCCACCCGACAACUCACCUCAAACCCAAAGGUGCCACCUCUCAAGGCCGGGGUGGCAGUUCAGCACUCCAGCAGCACUGAGAGCGGACAACGUUGCCAUGUUUAGUGGCAACAAAGCGACGGUCUCAGAAACACUCCAACGUAAAGUCAAGCAUUUUUCUCUAGCUUGAUGCUAAUACACAUUGAACAUGCUACCGAGUAGCAUUAGCGAUUCUACAUGGCGAUGUAGAAAGUCAAGCAUCUUUCUCUAGCUUUAUGCUAAUACACAUUGAACAUGCUACCGAGUAGCAUUAGCGAUCCUACAUGGCGAUGUAGAAAGUCAAGCAUUUUUCUCUAGCUUGAUGCUAAUACACAUUGAACAUGCUACUCAGUAGCAUUAGCGAUUCUACAUGGCGAUGUAGAAAGUCAAGCAUUUUUCUCUAGCUUGAUGCUAAUACACAUUGAACAUGCUACUCAGUAGCAUUAGCGAUUCUACAUGGCGAUGUAGAAAGUCAAGCAUUUUUCUCUAGCUUGAUGCUAAUACACAUUGAACAUGCUACUGAGUAGCAUUAGCGAUCCUACAUGGCGAUGUAGAAAGUCAAGCAUUUUUCUCUAGCUUGAUGCUAAUACACAUUGAACAUGCUACCGAGUAGCAUUAGCGAUUCUACAUGGCGAUUUGAACCCCUUUAAACUCCGACUACAACGCAGCACGUGACCAUCAGUGUGCUUUCCUCAAAUAUGUCAGGGGGACUGAUCUCCACUUUGGGGUUGAUUGAUGAGCCUUUUGUUUGCUUUCGUGUAUUGCGUCACCUUGUUGAGGUCAUUCAGUCCGUGACUUUGUAUCAAUAUUUCAUUUGUUUCACCUCACAGUCACGAUUCCCUUUGAUUCUUGGGGGUAACGAUUACAUUCACCAUUUUUUUUAAAUAAAAUUCUACUUAAACAUUUAAUAAAGUCAAAUACAAAUAAGGCAACUUUUCUAAAGUAAACCAGAUAUAAAUCAUCCACAUCUACUAUAUGAUUUGUCUAAGUGGCUGACAGGACAUAUUUAAAUAGUAAUAAUAAUAGUAAUAAUAAUACAAAAUAAAAUAAAAAUAGAUUUUAAAAAAAACAUCACAAUUCAUUAGAAUUUUUUAUUUUUCUUCAGGCUUCUAGUGUCUUCUAAGGCUGGGAGUCUUUGAGCGCCACAUGAUUCCAUUCUUGGGGGUAACGACUCCAUUCAAAACGAUUCUCCAUUCAAAAUCAAUACUUUUUCAAAUAAAAUAUGAUGGCAGUUCUAUGAUGGACUACAUCUAAUAAACUAACAGCUCUGAUCCAUUUCUAAAUGACUGCAAAUAAAACUGCUUUUGUUGAAUACAAUUCUAGCCAAACAUUUAAUAAAGUCAAAUACAAAAAAGUAUCCAACACUUCUCUCGUCUAAAGUAAAUGUGUA